rnacentral:tRNA from 1 species
GCCUGGGUGGCUUAGUUGGUUGAGCAUCUGACUCUUGGUUUUGGCUCAGGUCAUGAUCUUGCAGUUUCAUGGGUUCAAGCCCCACAUCAGGCU